rnacentral:rRNA from 1 species
AUUGAACGCUGGCGGCAUGCCUUACACAUGCAAGUCGAACGGCAGCACGGGAGCAAUCCUGGUGGCGAGUGGCGAACGGGUGAGUAAAGUAUCGGAACGUGCCCAGUCGUGGGGGAUAACGUAGCGAAAGUUACGCUAAUACCGCAUACGAUCUAUGGAUGAAAGCGGGGGAUCGCAAGACCUCGCGCGAUUGGAGCGGCCGAUAUCAGAUUAGGUAGUUGGUGGGGUAAAGGCUCACCAAGCCGACGAUCUGUGGCUGGUCUGAGAGGACGACCAGGCACACGGGAACUGGAAAGCGGCCCAGACUCCUACGGGAGGCAGCAGUGGGGAAUUUUGGACAAUGGGGGAAGGCCUGAUCCAGCCAUGCCGCGUGCAGGAUGAAGGCCUUCGGGUUGUAAACUGCUUUUGUACGGAACGAAAAGGUUUGGCCUAAUAAGCUGAGCUCAUGACGGUACCGUAAGAAUAAGCACCGGCUAACUACGUGCCAGCCGCCGCUGUAA